AACAUUUAAUCAGGUCCUUUCAACUUCUGCUGCUCUGCACACUAACUCCUUCACCAGGAACAUUUAAUCAGGUCCUUUCAACUUCUGCUGCUCUGCACACAGACUCCUUCACCAGUAACAUUUAAUCAAAUUUUCUCAAUUCAACUAUCACUGCCCUGAUACUCAAAACAUCAUGAGUUUAAAAUACUCAUUCAUGUAAAUGAUUCACAAGUGGUUUUUUGUAAUGACUGCCUAUAAUUAUGCAUGAUUAACUUAAAUCUUAUUAACUCACUAACACGACUAACCUCACUAACUUAAUCAGUUAUUAUAAAAACCACUUGCUGAGUUUUACUAUGAAGGUCUUACUGAUGUUGCUUGAAAGACAGCGCUGACUAAUUUAUCAGGUUGAACAACUUCGAGCUAAGUAGUCUUCAACUCUGGAAUUACUCAAGACUUUUUCUCCAG